rnacentral:lncRNA from 1 species
UGUAAUAGCUAUUAAUAACAGCACUUAAACAAUGACAAAUUUAUUUGAAUUUGUACUUUUAGAAGUCUGCAGUGGAGUCAGUACCUGAAGAAUUGGGGCCUACUAUCACUCUUCCAUACUGGUCUUACAGAUUCUUUGGGCAGUUAAACAACAGUUUAAGAAGAUCUUAGCUCCAAGGCUCUCUGAAUGCUGUACAGACAUUAGCAAGCCUUGAUGAUGCU